AUCGUCUGAUAGCAGAUCCAUCAGAUCCUCAAGCACUGAUUGCUCCUGUUAUUUCUGUCUCUACUGAUGGUCUCGUCACGUCUCGCUGUGUGAAUCUGAAGCUUGAGAUCAUCUGUGAUGCUUCAGGAUUCAGACUGGACACCAUCUUCAGAGUGAGGAAUGAAACUGCAGCGACUCCAGACUCAGAUCUGCUGAAUGAAGUGACUCCAGAUCUCCAGCAUUCAGUAGAUCAGCUCUGGUGGCUUUUGGCUGUUUUCAUUGUUCUUCUCAUCAUCUUCUUGAUCUGUUUGUUAAAGCGUAAAAGGGUCUUCAGAUGUUUUCAGGGGUUCAUCUGUCAGCGUGACGAUGAUGAUGCAGAAAACAGGGAUCUUGAAGCUGUUGUCCAAA